GUAUCAGUAGACCUAGCUUGGAUAAAAUAAUAUUUCUAUUUAUCAGAUUCCAAACAACUUUUGGCCUUUGUUGUGGUGGUUUGAUUUUGUUUUUAAUUCUAUACUUAGCUAAUACAAUUUGUUGCAAAUAAUCCCAUUUUCAAGCAUUCACAAUUAAUUUAAUGAAUUGCAUUCUUCAUUAAAACACUGAAAAGAAAGUAUAUAGUCACAAUAAUAUGCUUAAAUAAACAUGUGUUUCAGUGCUUUGCUAAAAUGUGUGCCUCAGGCCCUGGUCUUUACCAUUUGCAUACGUUGAUUCAAAAGAUUCUAGAAUUUUUACUUGCUCAAUCUGCCAGUUUCCUUGUGGAGUCACAAUCAGUUCUGUAUAAAGAUUUGGACUCACUCUUCACACUGAAUGUGCCAUUUGUAAAAACAAGAUAUCAGGGCUAACAGGAACAACACAGAGAGGAAAAAUAGAGCUUAGAGCUAAUGGCAUAAACCUAUGGAAACAAGCUGCCUUCCCAUGGUUAAGAGACUCCACUCCAGCUGGAUAAUCCUCUUCAGGAGUCCAUCUCUUAUCACCGUCUGUCCAGGGAAGCCAUGUGCAGCUGGAGUUUUGACUUUGACAGAUCAAGACAGAUGGCAUUAGUUCACUCAUGCUGGGUCUAACCUAGGCGGUGGCCAACAUUCUCUACAGUGUUAUAAUUUUUCUUCGAUCUUUAUUUUGGGCCAACAACCUCAUGGACAGUUUAGGUGUCCCAGUGGGAUUUACAGUGAACACACAAGUUCCUGUCUCAGCAGCUGUGGCUAUUCAGGAUGUUUUGGUAAAGAUGUUGCGAGCAUCCCACAGAUCCCAGAGGAACACUGGCUAUCAGAGGGACAGGAAGAGUGCCAGCACCUUGAAAGAAAAAGGAAGAUAAAGAAACUGUCUGAGAAGAUAUCCAAAAAAGGUCAAUGAAAAUGGUGAAAGGUCUUAAACACAAUACUUAAAAGGUGCAGCUUGGGGCAAUGGUAUUGUUUAGUCUGAAGAAAAGGAAGCUCAGGGGAGACCUUCUCACUCUCUACAACUACCUGAAAGGAGGUUGUAUUGGUUUAUAUUGGUAGCUAGUGAGGAACUGAAAAACACACCUGUGUUUUAGCUACUGCUGGGCAGGGCCACCACAGCAUCAGUGCAUUCCCCUCUCACCAGUAGGCUGAGGAUGGCCAAGACCUUGGGAGCCAGCAUAGCCAGAACAGCUGAUUUGAGCAGACCAAAGGGGAAUUCCAUACUGUAUGAUGUCUGCUGAGCAAUAAAAGCUAACAGAAAUUUUGCCCAUGUAAGGGGUUGUAUUAAUUAUUACAAAGGUUCUGGAGAAACCUCUAUGUGUCCUAGAGCUCUGCUUCCUGGGAAGUGCCUGGGAAUUGCUGCUGAUGAGAAGGAGAGAAUACAUCUUUUUUUCCAUUUUAUUUUCCCUCAGCCUGGGCUGCUGAGGAGAUCAGUGAUAGAGCAGCUUGGUAGGCACCUGGUUUCUAGCCAAGAAACAAAAAUGUUGGAACAAGCUGCCUGGGCAAGUGGUGGAAUCACA